rnacentral:rRNA from 1 species
CUGCUUCUACUUUCUGUAUGAAGCUGGGAGCGUCUGCCUGUUCGACGCCCGAAGAGCGUCAGGUUUGAUCCUUGGUAUGCAGAUGAACAUGACGAAUUACGGCGCCCCACGUGGGCUUACAAGUGGGAUAUCGUUUCCGAGAUGACGAACGAUGUCAAUCUCAUGUACCAAAAGUAUAUUGCCGAGUUGGACACGAUUACGCCUGAGCAGGUAAGGAGGUCAUUACUUUAG